GCUGAACGAUAGACGGGGAAAAGGUCACUCUUUCAAACCUUCGAUAGGGGAGUUUCAGGGGCUUGCAGCAUAAAAGCGUAAAGUUAAAACUACGGGACAUAGAGAAGUUUUCGAUUCGUGCCCGAACAGCGUCUUCUCAUGUUUCGCGCGUACCUCUUCGACAGCGUCUUGACAUCUGGCCCAAACACACAAAAUCCCAUUGUCGUCGUCGUGUGACGUUUAUUUUCCCAUCGAGGAGGCCAUGAAGUCAGCAGCAAUUCGCGGACGCGAGCUUCACUUUUUCGAGCUGCGUUUUCCAUCGAUUUCCCACUGUCCUGUUGCGUUCGGCCAGGACACGCUAUCGAUCCCGAAUCAGCAUCAAACCGUGCAUCAAGACGUGCCUAGGCAGAGACGACUCGGCGCACCGCGGGUGUGAUACGGAAACGGAACGGCAGCGGAAGGCACAGAGGGAAGGGAUUUUCUUCGUUGAUCAAUACAACGGAGCAUGCAAUGCCCUCUGGCGCGGGUUGGUCGCGACGGGUCUGCUCCUCCUUAACCUUCCCCUCUAACCUCCGGGAACGCCGGUCGCGGGGCAUCUCGCGGGCACAUACACGCCGUGUGCGGUCUUCGGUCUUCAAUUGCUGAAAGUCAGGGCAGCGCAUGCAUAUAUAUCGAAUUCCCAACGAUUUCGGAAGGAUGCCGGCGCUGUUCGCGAAUCCCUGCUGGUACUGGUACGCUCGACAGGACAUGCACACACACACACCCGGGACAUUAGUUGUCGAUCGACUUGUGGAAGAGUGGUCGACCCGCGGUUAUCCUUGGCAAGAUAUCCUGCGUGCGUGAGAAUUUCCAUUUCCGAGCAUAAUGUCGCGGCGCUCCCUGCUUGUUCAUCUAGCAACCAGUUCCAUCUAGUGAGCAGCGCCAUUCUCAACAAUCACGCACACACGGAGAUGAAUCAAUUUGAUGACAGCUUUUUGAUGAACUGCCAUUCCGUUGUCGUCGAAUAGUGCGCUCGCUGCAGGACACGCGGCAGCUUUUUCGCAAGCAUUUUCUUUUCUUCUCGUCUUCAUCGAAACCGUCCAUUUCGUGCGGCCCAGGAGGAGGUGGUCCUACGGGGAGUUGACUUUACGAUUGAACGAUAGAAUUGACGGCAAAUGAGCCGUGUGACUGAAUUGAUGGUAGAAGGCAAUAUGGUAGGGCCAAAGGGUAGUUUUGCUGUGGAACCAUUUGUUAUGAGGUAGUUGACAUUUUGAACCGGUUUUUUUUAAUUGAAGGAAAUAGGAAUAUCCUGCAUUCUGGAUGGAUUUGCUGAAUA